CGAUGAGUAGGGCGGGACACGUGGUAUCCUGUCUGAAUAUGGGGGGACCAUCCUCCAAGGCUAAAUACUCCUGACUGACCGAUAGUGAACCAGUACCGUGAGGGAAAGGCGAAAAGAACCCCGGCGAGGGGAGUGAAAAAGAACCUGAAACCGUGUACGUACAAGCAGUGGGAGCACAGAGCAAUCUGUGUGACUGCGUACCUUUUGUAUAAUGGGUCAGCGACUUAUAUUCUGUAGCAAGGUUAACCGAAUAGGGGAGCCGAAGGGAAACCGAGUCUUAACUGGGCGUUAAGUUGCAGGGUAUAGACCCGAAACCCGGUGAUCUAGCCAUGGGCAGGUUGAAGGUUGGGUAACACUAACUGGAGGACCGAACCGACUAAUGUUGAAAAAUUAGCGGAUGACUUGUGGCUGGGGGUGAAAGGCCAAUCAAACCGGGAGAUAGCUGGUUCUCCCCGAAAGCUAUUUAGGUAGCGCCUCGUGAAUUCAUCUCCGGGGGUAGAGCACUGUUUCGGCAAGGGGGUCAUCCCGACUUACCAACCCGAUGCAAACUGCGAAUACCGGAGAAUGUUAUCACGGGAGACACACGGCGGGUGCUAACGUCCGUCGUGAAGAGGGAAACAACCCAGACCGCCAGCUAAGGUCCCAAAGUCAUGGUUAAGUGGGAAACGAUGUGGGAAGGCCCAGACAGCCAGGAUGUUGGCUUAGAAGCAGCCAUCAUUUAAAGAAAGCGUAAUAGCUCACUGGUCGAGUCGGCCUGCGCGGAAGAUGUAACGGGGCUAAACCAUGCACCGAAGCUGCGGCAGCGACGCUUAUGCGUUGUUGGGUAGGGGAGCGUUCUGUAAGCCUGCGAAGGUGUGCUGUGAGGCAUGCUGGAGGUAUCAGAAGUGCGAAUGCUGACAUAAGUAACGAUAAAGCGGGUGAAAAGCCCGCUCGCCGGAAGACCAAGGGUUCCUGUCCAACGUUAAUCGGGGCAGGGUGAGUCGACCCCUAAGGCGAGGCCGAAAGGCGUAGUCGAUGGGAAACAGGUUAAUAUUCCUGUACUUGGUGUUACUGCGAAGGGGGGACGGAGAAGGCUAUGUUGGCCGGGCGACGGUUGUCCCGGUUUAAGCGUGUAGGCUGGUUUUCCAGGCAAAUCCGGAAAAUCAAGGCUGAGGCGUGAUGACGAGGCACUACGGUGCUGAAGCAACAAAUGCCCUGCUUCCAGGAAAAGCCUCUAAGCAUCAGGUAACAUCAAAUCGUACCCCAAACCGACACAGGUGGUCAGGUAGAGAAUACCAAGGCGCUUGAGAGAACUCGGGUGAAGGAACUAGGCAAAAUGGUGCCGUAACUUCGGGAGAAGG
rnacentral:rRNA from 1 species